CCUGCUCGUCCUGAGGUGGGCGCGUCACCCAAGUCCCAGCAUCCUCGUCUGGGAGAACCCCUUGAAGCAGCCAAUGAAUCCGCUCCCUGUAUGUCUCCAGAUUCCUUCCUCCGUGGCCAGGAAGACCACCAUCAGGGCUGCCCUACAGCAUGACACACACCACCGAGGACCGCACGCAGUUCCCCGAGAAGGAACAUUCCCAGAAAGAAAAGUCCGCCUGGUCCACUUCCUAUCUCCCUGGGUUCAUCUGCCGGCCGCCAUCUCCAGUUUUCUUUUCAACAGGAGUCAACCUGGAGCUCAAAAUAUAACAAACUCAGUAAAUAUGGUCUCCACGAAAUGACCUUUAAAGAGAACACAGCAUUAGGAUAAAAAUAUAUACAGAUGCUAAACUGUGAAGAGUGGGUGUUUUGCAGAAGGAGGAGGGUUACCAACGGCUUUCACCUUCUAAUGUAUAUAAAUUUUCACUGUAAGUAAACGUGACUUCCCUAAUCAGGAAAACGAAAUAGAGCUGGUUCAAAAACAGACAAGGACAAGAAACUCCUCAGUUUGACAACUGAGAAGGUCUAGGAGAAGGGUCAGGACACUACGGCAAGGGGCCCAAAUCCGGCCCACCACCUAUUUUUAUAAAUAAAGUUUUAUUGAAACACAA